rnacentral:rRNA from 1 species
UACGUAGGGUGCAAGCGUUGUCCGGAAUUAUUGGGCGUAAAGAGCUCGUAGGCGGUUUGUCGCGUCUGCUGUGAAAAUCCAGGGCUUAACCCUGGACCUGCAGUGGGUACGGGCAGACUAGAGUGCGGUAGGGGAGAUCGGAAUUCCUGGUGUAGCGGUGAAAUGCGCAGAUAUCAGGAGGAACACCGGUGGCGAAGGCGGGUCUCUGGGCCGAUACUGACACUGAGAAGCGAAAGCGUGGGGAGCGAACAGG